rnacentral:rRNA from 1 species
CAGGCCUAACACAUGCAAGUCGAGCGGAAAGGCCACUUCGGUGGUACUCGAGCGGCGAACGGGUGAGUAACACGUGAGUAAUCUGCCCCUGGCUUCGGGAUAGUCACCGGAAACGGUGAUUAAUACCGGAUAUGACACGGACUCGCAUGGGUUUGUGUGGAAAGUUUUUCGGCCAGGGAUGUGCUCGCGGCCUAUCAGCUUGAUGGUGAGGUAAUGGCUCACCAUGGCUUCGACGGGUAGCCGGCCUGAGAGGGUGACCGGCCACACUGGGACUGAGACACGGCCCAGACUCCUACGGGAGGCAGCAGUGGGGAAUAUUGGACAAUGGGCGGAAGCCUGAUCCAGCAACGCCGCGUGAGGGAUGACGGCCUUCGGGUUGUAGACCUCUUUCAGUACCGACGAGCGCAAGUGACGGUAGGUACAGAAGAAGCACCGGCCAACUACGUGCCAGCAGCCGCGGUAAUACGUAGGGUGCGAGCGUUGUCCGGAAUUAUUGGGCGUAAAGGGCUCGUAGGCGGUUUGUCGCGUCGGGAGUGAAAACGCCGUGCUUAACACGGCGCUUGCUUCCGAUACGGGCAGACUAGAGGUAUUCAGGGGAGAACGGAAUUCCUGGUGUAGCGGUGAAAUGCGCAGAUAUCAGGAGGAACACCGGUGGCGAAGGCGGUUCUCUGGGAAUGACCUGACGCUGAGGAGCGAAAGUGUGGGGAGCGAACAGGAUUAGAUACCCUGGUAGUCCACACCGUAAACGUUGGGCGCUAGGUGUGGGGUCCAUUCCACGGAUUCCGUGCCGCAGCUAACGCAUUAAGCGCCCCGCCUGGGGAGUACGGCCGCAAGGCUAAAACUCAAAGGAAUUGACGG